UACGGAGGGUGCAAGCGUUAAUCGGAAUUACUGGGCGUAAAGCGUGCGUAGGCGGUUCGUUAAGUCUGUUGUGAAAGCCCCGGGCUCAACUGGGAAUGGCAAUGGAUACUGGCGAGCUAGAGUGUGUCAGAGGAUGGUGGAAUUCCCGGUGGUAGCGGGUGAAAUGCGUAGAGAUCGGGAGGAACUCAGUGGCGAAGGCGGCCAUCU
rnacentral:rRNA from 1 species